ensembl:ncRNA R11B5.12 ncRNA
CUAGACAGACGCUCUGCCACUGAGCCAAUGAGGCGCUGGUGAGAGGCCGAGUGAAAAAGAAGCACAAACUGCGGGAGUCUGCGGGCGUGAAACAACUUUUUUCAAUUCAUCUCUUCAU